UCCUCCCAGCUCAUUCAUUUAGCUCAACAUCAAGAAAUCCCUCCCACUCGGGUUCUGCAGGAGGGAGAAUUGGCCAGAACCGAGGUUCUGGACCACGACUCUGGCGUGACUUAAGAGUUUGAUUGGACUUUUUUUUUUUUUCCAUUUCCUGACUGUGAAAAUGCGGCGAGACGCAGCGAGACGGCAGAAGUGUCUGGACCUGCCGGCGUCUCUCACCGCCGUGCGUUUUCUGAUGUCGGCUGAUUAACAUGCGAAUGUUCGGCAGUGUGCCCCCUCGUUGGCUUCGUGUCGGCGUGGCUGCCCAUGAUAGUUUGUGCUUCCGCUCUUGUCUCUUUUUCUUCUUUUUUUAAUUUUUUUUUAUUUUUUUCUUGCCACACUGUCUUUCUUAACUCCUCCUUCUCUCUCUUCCUCCUCUCACUACAGCAUGUCCCCUCCCUUCCUCCUUCAAUGUCCUCCCCACACUGCAAACCCCCCGCCGCCCGGUUCUGCCCUCCCCCUUUUUUCUCUGCUUCCCUCUUGGCAGCGGUGCCAAAGUGGGCAGGCGGACCGAGGCGAACGCAUCACAGGGCAGAGCAGAGGGCAAACCAAAGGCUGGCGAAUUGAUCAUGUGUGUGUUUGUGUUUUGGUCUGUCCUCUCUCUCUCUCUCUCCUCUCUCUCUCUCUUUCUCAGUGUGUCUCUUCACAAGUUAGACUCUGCCUUAGUCACACGCAGCUGCGAGUAAGGGCUGUGCGAGAGCUGACGUUCCUCUGUUACUCUUUGUACGGGCGGACGUACUCACGCCAGUAGGAGGGGAUUGUGGGAAUGGGGGUGUAGCUCUCAGAGGGUGCGCUCUACUCCUCUCGCUUCCCUUCUUCCCGCCAUCACGGCCUUCUUUUCAGCCUGUCGUCCGACCGAGCCUGCCCAUCCGCCCGUCCGCCCGCCUCACCACACACAGGCCUCAGGAAAGACACCUUUGUGGAUGUCUGAUAUGGAUGCAGCAUGGAUUGUGUCCUUGGGGCUGAGGUAGUAGAUUGAAUAGUUGUGGGGUUCUUCGACCUCUUUUUCAGAUAACUAUACAAUCUACUGUCUUUCCCAAGGAGACAGCUGAGCCAACUGGUCGUCGAAGGUCUUCUAAAGAUGGCCAAUCGUGUUGUCCUGUCAAAAAUGCCAGCAGUAAUUGUUUUAAUGUGCCUUUUUUGAUUUCUUGACCCGACGAGUAGACGUGUGCUGUGUUUGACUCGGGUUCUGUCAGGGUGAGGUAGUAGGUUGUAUAGUUUGGUAGGUGGGACUGCACCCUGCUGAGGUGAUAACUAUACAGUCUAUUGCCUUCCCUGAGGAGCCCACUGGACCCUCGUGGAUAUUCAACACCAUCGCUUCGCUGGAGCGUUACGUUUAUUUUUUCAAACAACAUAGAGAAGGGGUGAAUGUUUUUGUUUUUUUUUUGGA